rnacentral:rRNA from 6 species
CGGGCGGUUCGCCGCCCGUGACUCGGCGAGAAGUCCAUUGAACCUUAUCAUUUAGAGGAAGGAGAAGUCGUAACAAGGUUUCCGUAGGUGAACCUGCGGAAGGAUCAUUG